rnacentral:rRNA from 1 species
ACGCACGCUGGCGGCAGGCCUAACCCCUGCCAGUCGAGCGGACCUUUCGGGGUCAGCGGCGGACGGGUGAGUAACGCGUGGGAAUAUGCCCUUCUCUACGGAAUAGUCCUGGGAAACUGGGGGUAAUACCGUAUACGCCCUUUGGGGGAAAGAUUUAUCGGGGAAGGAUUAGCCCGCGUUGGAUUAGGUAGUUGGUGGGGUAAUGGCCUACCAAGCCGACGAUCCAUAGCUGGUUUGAGAGGAUGAUCAGCCACACUGGGACUGAGACACGGCCCAGACUCCUACGGGAGGCAGCAGUGGGGAAUCUUAGACAAUGGGGGCAACCCUGAUCUAGCCAUGCCGCGUGAGUGAUGAAGGCCUUAGGGUUGUAAAGCUCUUUCAGCUGGGAAGAUAAUGACGGUACCAGCAGAAGAAGCCCCGGCUAACUCCGUG